rnacentral:lncRNA from 1 species
AGUCGACUCCGAGACAGUUCGAGUCGACUCCGAGACAGCACGAGCCAAAAGACAGAAGCUCGGAAGUUCGAACUCUGAGCGCCGAGUCGACUCCCAGAAUUUCCGAGUCGACUCGAGUGAGCAAAGUUAAAAAAUACAUCCAUGGAUUUCUUGGGAUGAGCCGACUCCAAGAGUGCCAGGUCAGCUCCAAACUUUGGGGAGUCGACUCCGGGAUAAGUCGAGUCGACUCCCAGUCGAGACAGCAUUUUAAUUCGAAUUUUGAACAGUUGCCGAGCCGUCUCCAGAAAAGCAUGAGUCGACUCCUGCAACAGUCGAGUCGACUCCAGAUCGCGCGAGUCG